rnacentral:rRNA from 1 species
UACAGAGGGUGCGAGCGUUGUCCGGAAUCACUGGGCGUAAAGGGCGCGUAGGUGGUGGCUUAAGCGUGCGGUGAAAGCUCGGAGCUCAACUCCGAGUCGGCCGUGCGAACUGGGCUCACUGGAGCAUAGUAGAGGCAGGUGGAAUUCCGGGUGUAGCGGUGGAAUGCGUAGAUAUCGGGAGGAACACCAGUGGCGAAGGCGGCAUCCUGGCCAUGUCCUGACGCUCAGGGGCGAAAGCGUGGGUAGCAAACAGG